rnacentral:rRNA from 1 species
UACGUAGGUGGCAAGCGUUGUCCGGAUUUACUGGGCGUAAAGAGCGCGCAGGCGGUCGUUCAAGUCGCGUGUGAAAGCCCCCGGCUCAACUGGGGAGGGUCACGCGAUACUGAUCGACUCGAAGGCAGGAGAGGGUAGUGGAAUUCCCGGUGUAGUGGUGAAAUGCGUAGAUAUCGGGAGGAACACCAGUGGCGAAGGCGGCUACCUGGACCGGUUCUGACGCUGAGGCGCGAAAGCCAGGGGAGCAAACGGG